UUUUUUUUUUUUUUUUACAACAAGGUUGUGUUUAUCCUAAUCUAGAGGGAGGGAAGGUUAGAAGUGUUCUAACACCUCUUUAAAGAGGAAUUUUUUUCAAAGUAAGUGUGAUUAGAACCUCCACCUACAGUUUAAAGAGUGAUUUAAUCCCUAUUUAGUAGCUACUAACCUUUGGCUCAGUGGCUAAGACAGAGCACUUACAUUGGUUGUUUAUGCAUUCUCGUGGCACUUGCACUGGUGCCUGUUGGAAAAACCGAAACUAAAAUAUUUUAUUUGUUAUGAAACAAUUAAAAGUAUGGAUGUCCGUUUGUAUUCUCAAGAGAAUUAAUUCAUGAUUUAUGGCUAUAUUAUGUAUAGAAGUUACAAUCCAUAAAUCUAUUCAUGUAGUGGAGAAACCGUUUCAUAAGUUUCUUUAUAUUCUUGUAAUAGUGGGUGUUUAAUAGGAUUAAUGUUCUUUUAAUCUUGUAGUACCUAUAUAUAGAGGUACAUUGACACCCUUUGGAAGGACUUUUGUAUUAGUUGGAAUACAAGAAUAUCACUAACCAUUUCUCUACUUCUUUCUCUAAUACUUCUUCAAUUGCUAUUGUAGUAUCUUCAUUUUAUUAGUUUUAUAACACGUUAUCAGCACGAGUCUCUAUUUUUGAGGAAAAGGUGAAAACGGAGCCUCUAUCAUGAGUAAAAGUGAAACAAGAGAUUCUACCUGUAUUUUUUCGACAACUUCUGUCUACUUAUUGAGGUAAAUUUUUUACACAUAAAUUUAUUUCAAUUUCUUAUGGCUAACAUUUGAAUGAUAAAAAAAUACAAGUGCCUAUUGCUGAGCAAUCAUUAAAUACAAAUAUAUACUGUUUGACAUCUUUGAGGUAAUAUUUCUCCUUUUAAUUCUACUUAUUUAUAUUUAGAAUUAUUUGUUAUAAAUACUUAUAUUUUGAUGCAUUGAGUUUUAGAAAUGCUAUUAUAGAAAAUCAAUUGUAGACACCAAAUUUUGAAUUAAUUGGAAUGCUUUGUUGGCAUUUUAGCUCAUUAUUGUUUAUGCUAUUUUAUUUUAGUUUCAUUCACUUUUUAGUUUUAGUUGUUUUGUAGUUUUUAUUUUUGUAUUUUUGUAAGUUUUAGCGUAGAAUUUUUAGAGAAAGAGAGGAAAAAGUGAAAAAAGAAAAGAGAGGAAAAAGUGAAAAAAGAAAAAAGAGGAAAAGUGAAAAAUGAAAAAAGGGGGGGAAAAGAAAAGGGAAAAAUGGUUUAAUGCAUAUUGGCCUAUUUUUGAAAAAGGAAAAAAUGAAAAGUUUGAAAAUUAAAAAAAAAAAAGAGCUUUUUAGUAUAAUAGGUUUUAUUUACUUUUUGAUACGUUUUAAUUAUUUUUUUUAAAGAAAAGAAAAAUUCCAAAAAUAUUAAUAUUUCAGGUUACAAGCAUUUGUGUUUUGAUUGCAUUUUAUUGUUAUUUCUAUUAUUGUUAUUAUUCAUUUUAUUAUUAUCAAUUUCUGUUAUUUUGGAAAAAAAAAAAAGAAAAAAGGGUUGCCGCAGCAUGAAAGCUGCGGAUAUGCGCAGUUUGCAAAGGGACAAUGGAGCGGCCCCUGAAGCUGCAAAUACAGGAAAAGGACCAGAGUUUCUUAGGGUUGGGGGGCUCUGAUAUAUAAGCAAAAGGAAGACACAGCCGCAGACAGAGGGACUACGAAAGGGAGACGGGAGAGAAAGAGGGAGAGACGGCAAAAGCAAAGAGAAGGAACCAGGAAAAGAGAGGCGGCGUAGGUUUUCGGGAAGAAGAAGAAAGGGUUGGAUUCAGAAAAGAAACAGGGAGAGCUAGAUAGGAAAGGGAAGCUAGAACUAGAGAGAAAGGUUACGGGGGAGCGGCUAAAGAAAGAAAAACCGAGAAGGGAUGGGCGGCUACAUCAGAAAGGAGUGAAAAAGAGAGAGACCAGAGAAGGGAGAACGACGGCAGAGGAGAAUCUGGGAGAGACGAAGGAGCUAGGCUAGUGAGGGCUGGACAGAAAUCAGAAGGAAGAGUCACGACUGGGCAAAAGCUUGGAGCUUUCUGGUCAAACCAAAAAGCAAGAAAGGAGCAAACUUCAGCGAGCAUCUUCACGGUUCAUCAGACUCAGAGUGAAGGUAGCUACUGCUUCCUUGAAUCAUAUUUCGUUGGCAUCAGCAUGAUUUUUUUUCAUUAUUAUCUAGAGAAAGCCCAAUGAGAGUGCAGCAAAUUCCUGAAUAAUAGCCCAGUUGCAUGAUUUUUCUUUUGAAAAACCAUCGCUUUCCUCCUCUUGCACUUUAAAAUUGUUUAUGCUGACUUCAACGUCUCCUUUGCUUCCAAAAAUGGUGAUAAAGGUCUAAACUUUGAGUCUCUGUUCACUUUUUAUGGCGAUGCUAAGCUUGUUAGAGGCCAUGAUAAGUCGAUAAAGAUGUCUGGUUCAGUUGCUCCAACUGGAGCUUGCGAUUAUGUCUACUUGGUUCGAGUUCUGUACGUGUAUAACCUGUUUCUUUUCUUUUACGCUGAGUUCAAUGUAUGGUGGAGGAUUGGGUUGCUUUUCCUAUUAAAAUAGCAUGUUACGGUUUCACCCCUUCCCUUUGUUCUGAUGUGCGGUUCCAUUUCUGUUUUGCUGGUUCACAGUUGAUGAUCUGCGUCUCCAUUUCUGCAUUGGUUACUUGCAUAUCUUUGUCCUAAAAUUUCUGUUUAUAAAGCUAGGUGAUUCAGUUGAUGUUCUUGGCGGUUAUAUUAGAAGGUUGGGAUGGUAUUUCUUGUUGAAAUCACAAGCCGCGAAUAGGAGAAAGUUGCAGCAGCCUUUGUUUUUUUAAAUGUUUGCAUGUUGUUCCAGAUUGGCAUGAUAUCUUUCUUCCAAGUUUUUUUUGGCAUGUUUGGCUUGUGAUAAGUAUGUAUGUGUUGUUUAGAGUAAAGCUGUGAUUGAAAAGGUUUUUUUUUUUUUCUUGUUUUCCGCUCAAAAUGGUCUUUUGGAGCUGAAAUCCGCAAGUGAAAUGAAAUGAAAAUGCAGCAGGCUUGCACUUUCGGUUGGCUGAAUUUUUGCAUUGUUGAAGUGUAUGAUUUGUUUGCCAUGAGAUUGGAAUACCAUGUGCAUGCAUGCCAUGAGAUAGAGUCAUGCUUUGAAGUAGAGUUCAGUUGCAUGUUUGGGGGCUGAAAUGCUUAAAUCGUGUUUGAAUGCUGGCUGGAAAAUGAAUUUCGGUUUGCCGCAAGUCCUCACGUAGCUCUUGCUGUUUUUUUUAUGGUUGUAUUUGUAGUGAAGUAGAUACAAACGUAUAUUUUGGAUGCUGUGAUUGUCCACUAGUUGCUGUUUUCUUUUUCUUCAAUAUGCAGCGCACAUUUCAUCAUUUUUAGAUGGUUUGUGCGUGUCUUAAAAAACUGAUGCAUUGCUGUUCAAGGAAAGAAUAGCAGAAAUUUUCCAGAAAAACCGCAUGCUCCCAUUCAAGGAACCUGUUUUGUGUUGGACGUUGAUUAUCGUGUUUUUGUUGUUUUUGGAAUUGAGGUUUUGAUGUUGGGAUAAAGACAAAUAUAUUAGCUUGAUUUGAAUGGAAAAUGGCAUUAAGAUGAACCCAAAAGUGGCCGAAAGAAUGGUAGCUAGAUUUUGCAGAAGCUUGCUUCGUAGCUUGCAUGCAUUUGCAUGAAAAUGUUUUCCAGAAAUUGCACUUUGACCCCCAAGUCUAUCUUUAUGCCACUAGGGCCCAAGUCAUUGGAACAUUUAAUCAAUUUGAUCCCUCUAAGUUUCUCUUUGUGCCACAAUAGCUCAAGCAUGUUUUAGUAUCUUGUAAUUAAGUCCUAAAAUCAUUGCAACUUCAAUCAUUGUUUGGCUCUUUCUUUAUUUUUGAAAUCUUUGAAGUGCUUAAACGAUUUAUUUGGACUUGAAUGUUUGAGUAAUGCUUGUUUUGGGUCUUUAGUAGAUGCUAUAUUUGGAAAUUGAACGGGUGAUUCCGUUUUCGUGGUCUUUAAGUAUUUUUUGAGCUCAUUCAAGUUGCCAUUAGGAGGUUUUUGAUGUUUUUGCUCAUACUUUACUUUUAAAUUGAUGGCUUGACCCCUUUAUUGUUUUGAAGCCAUUUUCCUUCAUUUGCUUGCCAUUAGGGGAAGGUAUAAUUUCUUUUAUCUUUGUUUAUCUCUCCUAUGUGGUCCAACGUGCUAAUUGAAAUUUGCAAGUCUACUUGCUUUCCUAUCCUCUCUUUAUUUCCUUUCAGUUAUUUCAUUUACUUUUGAUUUUUAUUAAUGGGGUAUGUGUACACCUCUUGGCUUGUAAUAGAUAGGGCGUAGCAAGUAAUUUGGUCCAUUUUCCCUUUCCCUUUUGUUUUAGUUAGCAAAUGUAAUGGUUGCAUGCCUAUGUGUUAUAUGUUAAAUGCUUUAUUAGGAUUUUGCAUCUAGUCAAGAAUGCUAAAUGUUAUGUGCUACGUGUUUAUAAGUGAUUCGCAUGUCUACUCGCUUUUUGUAGUGUGGAUGAAUGGAAUGGAUGAAUGUACGUCACCACACUAGUCCAACGCUAGUUGUGGCUUCUUUUAUCGUUUCCACUAGUCCAACGCUAGUCGGAAUUCAUAGAAUGGGCUAGUCCAACGCUAGACCCUUAGGGAUUUUCCCUCGAUAGUACAUCAUUUGCUUGUUCACCACAUAUCACGCAUUUUCCUUAGUUUUAUCAUUUGGCAUGAUCCUCAAACCCCUUUUCCUCUCAUUUUAGGUUUUGCAUCUCAUGCUAGUUAGGGUUCAUUUGCGUGAAAAUCCCCUCUUGAUAAGGGAAACGAGCGAGUGUGGCUACUCGAUAGCCUUAGCACGCUAGUUUUACCUUCUAAUCCGAGGGAAAAUCAAAGUCGAAAAUUAGGCGUCACCCCCGUACCCGACUUGUUGCAUUCCCCUAGGGUCAUACUUUCAUUUUUAUCACUUCCAUACUCUUUUAAUCACAUUUCUCUCACAUUUAUCAAAUCCAUAUGUUUUUUCACUACCUCCUUAUCAUUUAUUUACUUUACUUCACAUAUGAAAUUCAAGUUUCACUUAUAUAUGUACUAUUCUAUCUUCAUUCAUUUGCACACACUAAUACUUUGAUUUUUCAUCCAAAUUCACACGUGCACUUUCUUUACACACUCACACACUAAUACCUUGAUUUUUCAUCCAAAUUCACACGUGAACUUUCUUUACACAUGCGCACACAAACACUUUGUUUUUACACCAUUUCAUACAUGAACCCUUUAUACACUUGCACACUUGCACUUGAGUCACCAUUUGCAUCAAUCGACCUCUAUGAGGUUUCCCUUUAUUGGCCGCCACAAUUCAUGUGGUCUGGGACCAAAAACCUCACGAGAGACAUCGUAGAAUUUAGGAUUGCAUUUUUUCGUUUUUGCAUUCAUAUAGGCAUAAUCCAACAUGCAAUAUAUACCCUGGGUAGAAAGUUAGGAAAGUUAGGGUUAAGUCACGCAACUAGCCUUGGCUAGGUCAAAGGGGUGCCUUGGAGUCUAUCCUUGCCUUCCCCUUUGUCAAACGUGACUCCCGAACCUUUUUCUUUGUUUUACGUAGACUAGGAGUCGUUUUAAAAAGGGUUUAUUAUUACUUGACUUUAAAACUCAUUUUUUUAGGUGACUUGGUACACCUUAAAUCAUUACCAAGUGGCGACUCCAAACUUUUCAUUUCAAAACCCUUUUUAAAACUAUUUUUUGGGUCAAAUCGUCGCUUUUUCAAGUCCCAUAUUAGACCCAUAUCUUUUUCAACUCACAAAAAUCAUUUUCCAAUCAAAAUUGAAUCAAAAACAUCUUUCUCAAACAAUUUAUUUUUCUUAUCAAAAAAUGGGGCGCGACAUCAAUUAUAUUUGAAGAUCUAUUUGUCCUUUGAAAUAUUUAAAGAAAAAGAUUCGAUCACCUGAAUAUGGUCGUUCUUUAACGAAAAUAUUUGGCCACUAGAAGAUGGUCAUUAUUUCAAAAGCCUGGUAUGAUAAAUUUACGUAUGGCUACAAGAACAUAAUUCUGCAAUUUUUAGAAUUACUUCUCAGUUGAAAUUGUGUCGAGAAAAUUUUACUCAUAAGAUUUAUUGAAAAUGAUAUUCUUCACAAUUGAUUCCUCUAAUAUGCUCAUGUAGUAGCAAUAUUGAGAGAAAAUUUGAGAAGUAUUUUGUACUUAUUGCAUGCUAAUUCUAAUCCAUUCCCAGAAGUGAAUGCGACUAAAUUUCAAUUUAUUAGUUAUGGUUGUUGCCAUGACUAUGAUUUUGGUAAAUAUGUAUUUUACCAUGACAAGAGAAAAAGUUACCACUUGAAGUGGGAUAAUAAUGAUAAGGACAAGAAAAUAAGGGUUCUAAAGACAAAUGUCCCGAAGUAUAUUUGACGAAUCAAAAGUAUAAUAAUAUUUUCACAUGGCAAAUUUCUUUAAACACCCCAAAGGUGUAUGAUGAUUGAUUUAAUUUAUGAUAAUUGAUUUAAUUAACUUUUCUUCCUGAAGAAGAAAUGGAUGUUAAAUAUUUGGGAUCAAAGGAUUAUGGUGAUGAUAUUUCUCCUAUAAGAAUUAUGGUGACAAUGAUAUGUGUCUCAUUAAUAAAUGCUACUAUAUACACUAUUUUCCAACAAAAGAGACAAACACAAUCAAUGGUAGUGCUUAAGUGAUUGAAAGAUCCAGAAGAGCCACUAAUAUAUUUCUUCCUGUAGGAGAAAAGUUUAUGAUAAAUGAAGCACUACUUUUUACCAUGUCUCGAAAAAUUUAUUGAAUUUGAAUAUACAUCGAAACGGAUAUCAAAUUGAGAUAUUAAAUGAGACAAUAAUAGAGAUCAUGUUUAGAAAUCAAGUGAGAUAAAGGUUGAUUAUAUCAUAAUAACCAUUCGAGAGAGAAAUAGCUAUCGAUAUAGUUGUCUUCAUUCUCAUUUGAUUUAUAAUCAUCACCUGCAGUAAACCAGAAGUUUACUGAUCCCAUCGGAUAUAUGAUUUGACAAAAGUGAAAACAUUUGAGAGCCGACAAAUAUUUAUACAUUCCCUCUAUUUAUAUUAUAUAUGGCUCUAAAAGAAAUUUAAAAUUUAUGUUGGGAAUGAAUCACCUUUCACGAUUAAAUAUCGUAAAAUAUUGAUGGGUGAUCUAUUGAAUGAUUUAUUUAUUCUGAUGAAUUAUGAUUCCUAAUAUUAGGGGGAGGAAAAAAUCAAUCGAAAGGAAAUCAUCUGAAAAAUUAGAUUUUCUCGAUUCUCAUACAAAAUAAUAUGAACUACAAAUUCAAGAAAUUCUUCAUUUGUAGAAAGUUAUAUUUAUCGACUCCAGAAGCGUCAUUAAAUCAACUAUUCCUGCAGGAAAUAUUAUGAUUAAAAUUAAUGUCCCUGAAGGACAUGCACAAGUGCUACAAAUAAAUUUAAGGCCGACUUACCUAAAUAAGGUAUAAAUUGAUUUCAAAUAUCUCCGAAAAUUAAAUAAAUGUCAUGACAAAAUUCAACCUCUUGAUGAGGUCGCUCCUGAAGAGCCAACUCCUGAAGAGAAUGAAAUCAUAGAAAAUUUAAUUGAAAUCUAAUGAAAUGUAGCACUUGAUAUUAUAGAAGUUGAUGAGGAUCAUAAAUCUAUAUCGGUUGAUGAAUGUCGGUAUAGAAAUGAUUGUUCAAAGUGGAAAGAUGUGAUUCAAUCUAAAUUGGAUUUAUUGAUUAAAAGAAAAGUUUUCGGACUUAUAGUCCAAACACCUAAAGGCGUAAAGGUAGUAGCUCAAGGAUUUUCACGAAAGCCUGAAUUUGAUUAUGAUGAAACGUAUUCACCUGUAGUGGAUGCUAUCACAUUUAGAUAUCUUGUGAGUUUUGCAGUACAUGAAAAAUUAGAUAUGCGUCUAAUGGACGUCGUUACUGCAUAUUUAUAUGAAAAUUUUGAAAAUAAUAUUUAUAUGAGAAUCCCCGAAGGAUUCAAUAUGGCUAAAGCAUGCAAAUCAAAUCUUAAAAAUACUUAUUCUAUUAAAUUACAAAGGUCUCUGUAUGGGUUCAAACAAUUUGGACACAUGUGGUAUAACCGCUUCAAUGAAUGUCUGACCAAAGAAGGUUAUACCAAUGAUCCAAUAUGUCCAUGUGUUUUUAUCAAGAAAAGUGGAUCAAAUUUUGUGAUAAUUGCUGUAUAUGUUGAUGAUCUAAAUUUGAUUGGAAUUCCUGAAGAGAUUCAAAAUAGUGUUGAAUAUAUUUGAAUAAAUAAUUUGAGAUCAACGAUUUUGGAAAAACAAAAUUCUGCAUUGAUUUACAAAUUAAGCAUUUGAAAAGUGAAAUUUUUGUCCACCAAACUACUUAUACCCGGAAGGUUAAAGCGGUUUUAUAUGGACAAGGCACAUAUAUUAAGUACUCCAAUGGUCGUCAGAUCAUUAGAUCCUAAAAAGAAUCCUUUUAGAUCGCAAGAGGAAGAUGAAGAGAUACUUGGUCCUGAAGUACCAUAUCUCAGUGCAAUUGGCGAAGAAUAUUGGAAUGCGACGAUUAAAAGAUCUCAAAUAAUGUUUGCAUCAGGGGGAGAAAUUAAUACACAAGAAUAGUGUAUUCUUUUUCCUUCACUAGGGUUUUUGUCCCGAUGAAUUUUUCCCUGGUAAAGUUUUAACGAGGCAUAUUCUUUGUGUAAUGGACAUCCAAGGGGGAGUGUUAUGAAAUAAUUAAAAGUAUGGAUGUCCGUUUGUAUUCCCAAGAGAAUUAAUCCAUGAUUUAUAGCUAUAUUAUAUAUAGCAGUUACAAUCCAUAAAUCUAUUCAUGUAGUGGAGAAACCGUUUCAUAAGUUUUUUCAUAUUCUUGUAAUAGUGGGUGUUUAAUAGGAUUAAUGUUGCUUUAAUCUUGUAGUACCUAUAUAUAGAGGUACAUUGACACCAUUUGGAAGGACUUUUGUAUUAGUUGGAAUACAAGAAUAUCACUCUCCAUUUCUCUAUUUCUUUCUCUAAUACUUCUUCAGUUCCUAUUGUAGUAUCUUCAUUUUAUUAGUUUUAUAACAUUAUUUUAUUUUUAAUUGAAGACUCCGACUUAAAUAUAUAAGAAGUAACAAAUUAUUUUAUAGACCCAAAGUUUCCAUUUGCCUGUGCAGUGUGCCCCAUUUGAAAGGCAGAGUCGAAAAAAGACAAACUUUUUGUCCAUGUAUCCGAGUCAAAUUUAUUCUUGAAGUGAGCCUUUUUUGGAUUGCUGUUUUUCAUCAAAAAAUUACAUCGUUUUUCGUAAUCAUAUUUUUCUAUUACCUUUUUCCCUCACAUACAUCAAAUCAUUAGUACCUUUUUCCCUCCCAUGUCCUAAGCGAAAAAUGAUCCCAGUCGGGAAGUACUCAAGAUCCUACAUUAACUAUCGAACAAAACAACUAGAUUUCCGAAUAUGAUCAAAUGACAUUUGGAUGGUGACCUUCUAAGACUUGGGAGACAACUGAAAUCAAGCAAUCAACGAUACUAACAAAAAAAAAAAGAAAAAGAAAGGAAGUAAAUAUGGAAGGACUUCAGGAGUUUCACUCAUGGUCAUAUAUGCCAAAUCAUAAUCCCAAGCCAUAAGAAAACAAUCAAAUCUAAAAACAUUUACAUGAACGCUCUCGUUUGGAUUGCUAUUUUGUGAAACUUUUUUUAUAGAAAAAUAUAUUGUAGUGAUUUAACGUAUGUAAAAUAAAAAAAAUGAUUAAAAAUGUGUUAACAGAAAUUGUAAAUAUUUUUUGAUAGCAAAUUACAACCCAAACACCAUGAUUUAAGCUACAAACAUCAACAAAUCAUUUGUUAAGACCCAGCUUGAAUUGUUAUUUUUAGGAGUUUUUAUAAAAAAAAAAUGUAUUGUAAUAAUUUAAUGUAUAUGAGGUAAAAGGGUGAUUGAAAAAUGAAUUUAAUGUAAAAUUAUUUUUUGUAAAAAAAUCAUAUGAGGUAAAGUGAAUUAAACAAAAGGUACUUCAGACUUUUUUUUUUUCAGGGGUACAAGUACAACGUCAAAGUGUUUUUUCUGUAAAUCAUUCAAAAAAUGGCUUUGUUUGGUGUAAUUUUGAAUAAGACUCGCACAAUCCAGUACCCCUCAUGUCUAAUUAUUUCCUUGUCAUCGAACAAUCAACUAAUGUCCUGCUGAUGCAUGCUCUGUUUUUACGGGUCGGAAUCUGACGUCCCACCUCCCUCAUUGACCGUUGAUCUACUUCUAAUUGGACGUCAUUAUUACUUAAUGAGUCAUCAUACUUUCUACUCAAACCGCCUCGCUCAUUGACUCACUCCACUCCCCACCCAUUUUCGGUCACAGCCAAAUUUCUGUUUAUCUUUAUCCUCCUUAAGUCAAUAUCCAUUUGGCCCCCUAAUAAGGUUUGAUAUUUUGCAAAUUUACCUUCACUAACGGUCUUGGUUAAUUUUUAGCAGCGUAAUAAUCUAACAUCAGUUUCUCACCAUACAGUUUCAGUGAUGGAAAAUUGUUUUUUGAAUGGAGCGAUGCAAUGUUGUUGUUUUUUUUUGGUAAAUAAAAAUGCAUUAAAAUAAAGUCAAGUCAACGGAGUGCAAAUUAAGGUACAGUCCUGACUUCGCGGGGUGGUAACCCCCUUUAAGUCUUGCAAAAGUAAGGGAAGUACAAAAUUGGGAUAUAAUUCAAAAAAAAUGAAAUCUUGAGUGUUGCUUCUUCCCCAGUUGGCAAGGAUGUCUGCACAUUUGUUUGCUUCUCUAUAAUUAUGGUGAAAACAUAUUUUCUGUUAAAUGUUAGUAAAUGUUAAAUGUUAGCAAGGAUGCAAUGUUGUUAAAUGUUAGUAUUGUUUUUAAGUUUGAAGUUCUCAAAAUUUAAAAGAUAUACACUAAGACAUAAAGGGAAAAAUAUGCAAUGAUUAAAACAUUGAGAAUUUCUGUAAUUUCAUUGAAUCAAUGAUCAUACAAAUCUAAGAUUUUUCCCCUAAUAGGAGGAAUGUGAGAUUUAAAAAGUGCAGAGGAGGAAGGGAGAUUUGAACCAAAACUUAUAAGUUUUAGGGUCUUAACCUUAAUUAUUACACAAAUUCAAGAUUGAACAAUAAGCCUUAUAAAGAAAGUGGUACUAACAAAAAGCCUCUAUUUCUUAUAUAUUUCUAAAAAAUGUUGUUAUUCUUGCUUUUUUAACAGCUUUUCUUGCCAAAAUGCUUUUAUAUAUUAUGAACUUUGAAUUCUGAUGAUGUAAUUUUUGUCAGACAGGCACUUUUUUAUCAAUGGAAAAAUUUAGUAUGGAAACUUAAGUUGGAAUAUCUAAAUCCCCUUAUUAUGAUAAGAAAAGUUCAAAAAAACAUGGAAAAUGGUGGUAAAUCGUUGUCCUUUUAGAGUAAUUUGAGUUACUCAAGACUCGAACAGUUAUUCAAGAUCAUCAAGAAGAAGGGGUAAAAUUGCAUAACACUUGGAAAGAAAGGGGCAAGUUGAAGAUUAAACAAACAGCCGGAAGGGUGGGGAAGGAAAAUUAACCCACAGAAGCCAAUCAUAAUCCCCGAAUUACCCCCAUCAAUUACAAUAGUGAAAGACCCCUAGAUUUGCUCCAGCUUUUGCUUCCAUGUCCGAAGAAUUUACAGCUAAUCUCUUCCGUCUCCGUCCCUCCCUUCUUCCCUUUUCCGCUCAUCCCAUUUCCGUUUCAAGCCCGAAAUUGUUAACCAGGAAAAAGGAAACAAUACUACCAAACUAAGCAACCCAUUCAAUUCUUUUGAAUUCAUUCUUUAACUCGAAGAUAUCUCCCACCCAACUCCCACCCCAUCCUUUUCCUUCAACCGCACUCACCAGUCUGUCCCCCUAUCAAACCCCCAACUUAUCACCACCUACUCAAACUUGAGCUCAAACUAACAAACCCAUUUCUCCGUUUCUUGUCUCUCUCUCUCUCUCUGUAGAAGGAAAAGGGAGGGAGGAACUUAACGGCAAACAAGAAAUGAAGUUAACGGCGUUGCAGCAGCAGAGUCGCCGGAGCAAUAGCUUCAGAGGAUCCUCGCCUUUAGAUUCGUCAAUGGAUGGGGCAAUCAAAUCUCCAGUUACGAUUUUCUGGCUGGUUCUUCAUGGUCUUUGCUGUUUAAUUAGUCUUGUUUUGGGCUUCAGAUUUUCUCGUUUAGUUUUCUUCCUUCUCUUUUCCAAUACUUCCAAUACCAUGACUAGUACUAAUUUGUACUCCACGUCCUCGUUCGGUAACCCGUCUGAACCCCUAGCUUUCCAGUCUACUUUAGGAGCUGUUACUUCUACUUCCACUUCGCUUCCGGCUAUGAAUUUCACGACGACGGCGGCUUCAGGGACGAGUAGUAGUCGGGUGGUGGUUGGGCGACACGGGAUAUUGAUUAGGCCGUGGCCGCAUCCGAAUCCGGCGGAGGUGAUGAUGGCGCACCGGUUAAUUGAGAGGGUGCAAAGGGAGCAGAGGAUGCAAUACGGGGUUAAGAACCCUAGGGCUGUGAUUGCUAUCACUCCAACUUACGUUCGGACUUUCCAGACGCUGCAUCUUACUGGAGUGAUGCAUUCCUUGAUGAACGUGCCCUAUGAUCUCGUCUGGAUCGUUGUCGAGGCCGGUGCGGUCACCAAUGAGACUGCUUCGCUGCUUGCUAAGUCUGGCCUUACAACUAUCCAUGUUGAAUACGGCAAGAAAAUGCCGAUUCUUUGGGAGGAUCGGCACAAAUUGGAGGCGAAGAUGCGCCUACAUGCUUUGAGGUAUACAGAGUUUUUGACGUUUGGUUUUGGUUUCGGUUUUUGUUGAAUUUUGUGUUAAAUGCAUACUAGUAUUGAAUUUGAUGCACUCUAAGUGUUUUUCACACUUAACAGAUUGGUGAGAGAGAAGAAACUAGAUGGAAUAGUGAUAUUUGCUGAUGAUAGUAAUAUGCAUAGUAUGGAACUUUUUGAUGAGAUCCAAAAUGUGAAUCAGUUUGGGGCUGUUUCUGUUGGAAUCCUUGCUCAUUCGGGUGGUGAUGGUGAGGAUGAAACGGCAGUGGCACAGAAGGAAGAGGAAAAAAAUUCAGGAUUGCCAGUUCAGGGUCCAGCUUGCAAUUCGUCGAAUCAUUUGGUGGGUUGGCAGACUUUCAAUUCGGCUACGUUUAUGGAGAGGAGUGCGAGGUAUGUUGGUGAUAGGGCAAUUGUGCUGCCCAGGAAGAUGGAGUGGGCUGGGUUUGUAUUGAAUUCUAGAUUAGUCUGGAGGGAUGCAGAAGAUAAGCCAGAAUGGGUGAGGGAUCUGGACGAGGUAGCUGCAGAUGAAGAAGAUGUUGAGAGUCCGCUGUCCUUUGUUAAGGAUGCUUCUGUGGUGGAGCCUCUUGGGAGUUGUGGGCGUAAAGUCAUGAUCUGGUGGCUUCGAGUUGAAGCACGGGCAGACAGCAAAUUCCCUGCCGGGUUAGUCUACAAUCGUCAUUUUUAUUAAAACACUUUCACAGACUAUUCUCUUACAUUAUUCAUGUGGUGUCCAUAUCUCUCAGCUUUGUGCUUAUAUUUGUUUGAUCGUCACUACGAAUUCAUUGUUGAUUGAGAGUUGUUUACUCAUUUCAUAAAGGUUGAAUCAGCUUAAGGAAUCUCCUGUGGUUAUUGUAUGAUUAUUAGUGCUGAGAAAUGAUGAGAUAGGAUACUGUGACAUCAUAUCCACAGUUUAUCUAGUAGCUCUCACAUGAACUGUGAAAACAGUGGUUGGUUCCUCAAGGACAAGGAGUUUUUAUUCCAAAUAGCGAUGAAAUGACUCCAAGUAAUUUAUGCCUUUUUCUGUUUAGUUGUCUCUUUUCUAAACAAAAGCAGAAGAGACAGAUAAAGAUAGUACCUGAACCAGCAGUUCUUUAAACUUAUCCUGAUGAGAGUCGAUGAAAAAAUAUUAAAUGAAACAGCUCUUGUUUUUCUUUUCGUGUAUUUGUUAUCCAUCCCUGUCUAGGAGCAUCAUGUAUGGAAUUGAUAAUAUUUAUUGCUGGUUUCCAAUAUAUUCAACUGGACAUUUCCUUUCUGAAAAUUUAUCUAGUAGCUCUCUCAAGAACUUGCAAACUUUUCUUUUACUACUCCCUGAUGUCAGCCUCAUACGCAGGCGCUCGCUCUCUCUCUCUCUUUCUCUCACAUGUGCGCACCUGGGCUUAUACUUAUGUUGAACCUGUCAUCUCCUUCUUCCUCCUUUCUCCAGCUGUUUGGGGCAAUUCUAGUUGCUAUUGAUUGCUUCAUUGGCCCAUCUUAGUUUCCUCAUUUCUCUUUCUGGAUAGCAUACCCCUCUCUUUCUGAAUAUUACAAUACUGUUAUUUUGAACUAUGUUCUAUUAAGACCCACUAAGCUCAUGCUAACCUCACCAUUCCAUCACCUUCAUGUCUAUUGGAUUCAUCAUCCUCUUUAUUUAUUUUUUUUAAUUUCUUUUAGGAUUCAUCAUCUUCAUGUCCAUUAUGUACUAAUUAUACUUCAAAUAAAUAAUGAUUGGUGCUGUCUGAUUAGUUUCCUCAGCUGAACUUACCAUAACGCUCAUUGAUCAGGUCUACAAAUAAAAACUGAUAACUGGCUGCAGUUUUAGUUGUCAAGCCACUCUUAUCUCAAAUGAAUAGAAAAACUUACAGCAAAGCUGUCUUAAGUACAGCUCUCCUGAGAGCACCAGUCUCCUUCCUAGUUUUGUUUUGUUUUUUUAUGGCCUAAAGGAUUGAUUUGCUUGUAUCGAGCUGAAGGAGAAGAAUGACUGCAAGCAUCCACCAAACUUUUACACAUAUAAAGCAGAACUUUGCAAGAAUAUUUUAAUAAAAAAAAUUCGUAUUUAAGAUCAUAUAAACGUUCUUAUAUUUUUCCUCUUCCUGAUUUGUAGGUGGUAGAACUCAGCUCACGUAUUUGUAGUACAUUUGGUACUUGUCUUUAAAUUAGAAAAGGGAUUUCAGAAAAGGUAAAUUUUUGAAUAUAGAGAAUAGGCCAAAUGCAAGAGGUUCACCAAACUGUGGAGUCGAAGGAGGGUUGUGCAUGUAAAAUCUAUGCCCUUGAAUACAAGAGUCCAUUCUCAGGUCAUUGCAUGGACAUCCUUACCAUCAUUUCUAGGCUUACUUCAUAAGAUUAGAACUUACAAAUCAUAGGGAGAGACAAAAUGAGUAAAUCAAAUAGAAAGAGGUUGAAGGUUUAGUUGGCAUACAUGUGGAAAACUGCAUCUAUUCCAAUGUAUUGUACACGUUUCUGAGAUUAAAGGAAAAAUUUGCUAUAACUUCUUAGGAGGCAGAAAAGUCGUCAUAUCUCAAACGGAACAUUUCUGGCUGAAUAUUGGCAUUUUGGUUAUCCUUCUGAUAACUUAUCUUGGAUUAAAAGAUUUCAUUCUUUUUGAAUGUCGUUGUAUAGUAGUUUAUUGUUUUCUGUUCCUUGGGACACUUGUUUAGCUUUUUAUUUUUAUUUUCCAUUCUCUUUUAUCUUAACAUUAUUUUUAGCAGUUAUACAUCCUAUAGGAGCACACUUUUUAAGUUAUGGUGUACAUAUGCUUAAUUUGUGGUCCUCUGGGGACUGUCUACUUAAGGAAGCAGGGGAAUGUAAAGAGAAGGAUUGGAAUCCUGGACCUAGCUAAUGACUUCUAUAGUUCUUUUGCUGUUUGGGAGGGAGAAGUAGAGAGAGAUGAACACACACCUUGGUUAUCUCACUAUUACAACAGAAAUUUCUUGCUUUGUUUGUGAGGUCAAUCCUUCCACUCUCUCCUCUGGUGGAAGUCUUUCUAACACGUUGGCAGGAGGGUUGGCCUUGCUCGUGAUAUGAGGCCUUUGUAGAAUCUUUUGUUUCUCAACCCUUCUAAUAAUGGAUCAUAAAGGCUUAUUCAUCUCUCACUCUAUCUCUUGCAUGCGCACGCACACACCAUCUUAGUAUUAAAAAUUUUCCUAGCUGCUGCUCCAGACUGUUUGAUAAUGAACAUGGGACCUAAUCUGUUUUUGAUUGCAUUGAACAUGUCUACUAGUUUAUGGAAUGGCCACUGAGUCACUUUCUCCAGGACACAUCCAUGAAGUCUGUUCAUAUCUUUCCAACAUAUUCUGACUAGUCCUGAUUUUUGGAUUCAGAUGGGUGAUUAACCCUCCCUUGGACGUUACGGUCCCAGCAAAACGCACACCGUGGCCAGAUGCUCCUCCUGAACUCCCACUCCCAGCGGGUGAAAAGGCGGUUGUUCUCCAAGAGAUUGCAGAGAAGCAAGCAACAAAAACCCACUCACCCCGAAAACGAAGAAGCAAACGGAAGCACGCAAUUAGAACCAUAGACGAGCGUGUUUCUACAAGGCAUGCUGGAGAGAACUAGGAUGUCUUAAUACCGGCCUUAAAAAUCUAAUAUACAUACCAUUGUGUGAAUUCUGCAGAGCAAAGAGGGCUCAAAGAUCAAAAGGUUGGAUACAGAGACGAUGUCUCAUGGAGUAAAUACAAGAUGGCAUCUGUCGCACUGCACUGUUUAUACAAACAUUUUCUUUUUCUAAUUUUGAGAUUCUUUUCAAUUUGCGAUUUCUUCCAAUUUCUUUUUUUUUUCCCUGGUGAUUAAUACCGUGAAUCUAGUGACGGUGAUAUGCCACCCUGUUCUGUUGCAUGGUUGGCAGAAAGCUUGUACUCAACGUUAUACUAGUUCUUAAGGAAUUCUUCGAAUAGAAGUUCUCAUAGAUUUUGUAUUAGUUUCCCCUUGGCAAAACCAGUUACGGUUUUUGCUUGUAAUGCUUUGAGACCAAUAGCAUGAUCUGUGAAUGAACUCAGAGCCACCUGACCUGGUCAGCCAUCAAAGAAAUUAUUUAAGUCUCCAUCUUCAUCUUUUUCCCCAUAUAUGCUAGAGUGACAUGUCCCCGGAAAAAAAAUGGAAAGUCUUAAGAGUUAGCAGUCCCACGGAGGUAUGCACUUCGGCCUUCUUGAUUCAGAUCGUAGUCAUCUGCCACUGGUUGAUGAUGAACUAUUCUCCAGAUUCAAAAUUUUUCCGUUCCACUGCUGAAGUAGCCAUGUGAAAAUAAAACAAACCUUAGUGUCUAACUGCAACAAUUGAUCAAUUUGCUCAAGAUCCCCUUUUUGCUCUUAGCAUUUGGCCGUUGUUUCCAGUGAUAACAUAAUUGAAUUACUCUUGCCACAACAAAUUUUGUUGCACUACUAGCAUCAGUCCGGGUAUGUAUGCAUGUCGCAUGCAAAUUAAAUUUGAAUCUCUUGGAUUGAUUAUGGAGGUAAACCUAAUGCAUUUUUACAAUUUAAAAGCCAGUUCAACCCCUCCAUCCCCCUCCCCCGGGGAAAAAAAACGUUUAUGAUGGUGUCACAAUUCGAGAUUCUCUUGCUGUAUUUAUAAGAUAAUUGUGUGAAGAAUCUGUCAAGAGCAUGAUCCGAAUAAAAGCAAUUGAACUAACCUGCAAUGUGGCGAACAUUGAGACUAUCUCCUCGUUGUAACUCCGACAUUCAAGUCAGUUUGAGAAUAAUGGAAUUGUAACUCCGACGCUCAAGUUUGCUUGAGAAUAAUGGAAUAGACCUCAAGUUAGCUUGAAAAUAAUAGAAAAGAGGAGAGUGAAUGUAUUGUAUUUUUUGUAUCUCUUUCUAAUCUGUCCGUCCACUAUUUAUAAAGCCUCCCCUGAAUAAUCAUGGGGGAGUCCAAAGUUAUCCGUUUACUCUUAGUAGUUAUCUCAUCUACGAGUAUAAGUCCUAUUAGGUUAUUAGAAGUAGAGUCCUUUUUUGAAUUAUGACUUUAGUCUUAUCCCGAAAACUUGACCGUUUCCAACUACGACAGCCAGCUCCGCUUAGUUCGGGCUUGGAGUGGAGUCCGAACAAAGCUUCUGACACGUGUUCACAGAGGAUUUCUCCCUCUACAUUGUGCUUAAUUAAAUAACCACAUAAUGCAAUAUCAGUAAAAUUUGUGCUAAAAAUGGGCGACCGAUUCAAAUGAAACCAGGUAAAGUCUCGGCGGCCAUCAAAAAAAAAAAAAAGAAAAAGAAAAUCAGUGCUGCCUGCAGGUGACCUGCAACGCAGGUAACAUGGCACUAACAUCUAGAGAUCAAUCAAGCCACUUCCCAAGAAAUCUUUGGCAGCUGGCCCUGUUGCAUGUUGUUGUUUAUUAAUCCAAGUAAUGGCCAUACGUUAAUUAGUAAUAAAGAAAGGCUCCUCGUACAAGUUGAUUCAGUUGACAAUGAUGAGUCACUUUUUAACAAAAAAAAUCCCCAUAACACACCCUGAUCCGUCAAGAUGGUGAUCAUGGCCAAACCCAUUAAAACAUGGUGACAUAUGAUUCGUUAAGAUGUACCCACUCGCGUCCCAUGCAGUUAAGACUAAUCAAUAAUUCAAGAAGGUUGGUAAUGGUUUUCUCACCAAAGGAUAAAUGAAAAGAAAAAGAGUACAUGAUCUUGGACGGAAAGCAUUUUUAAUGGCUUUCUCACCAAAGGAUUGAUGCAGCAUAUGUUUAUUCUUCUUUCCCUUUCAAUUUAUGAUAAUUACCAGAAAUAAAGAAAGUCGAUUCCAAACAAAAAAAAAAUUGUAUGGAUAAAGUUGAUUUUGGCCCACUGAUGCUUGAUGGAUGCACCGGUAGGUUUUGAAUUAGUACGGAAUCAGUGGGCAUAAGGUGUUCCGAGAGUGAAAUGACGAAGGACAAAUGGCCCAUUGGACGUAUGAGAGAAAUUAGCAUUAACUGGCCUUGCUUGUGUUGUUAAACAGGAAGCUGCUGGGCCUUCUCGAGUCGACCAUAGCUGCAGUGGAACAAGAACCUAUAACCUCUGCUGCAAUGGAGCAUUAGGGACCAUGCCUUCGAUUUCUUUAUCGCCAAUGGUGAAGAUGACUACCCAUACGAGGGACUUAACGGGAUUUGUGACCCCUCUCGUGUUCGUAACGUUUCAUUUACCCCCCCCCCCCCGGCCCCCUUUUGUUCAUUUAUGCAUCUUUGAAAUUUAAAACACAUUUUUCUUUUGUGCUUAAUAUAUCAUUGUUAUAUGUCGAAUUGUUGCAGAAGAAUGCCAGAGUUGUACGCAUAGAUGGGUAUGAAGAUGUACCACCUUACAGUGAGAAAGCGCUGCAAAAGGCAAUGGCACACCAACCUGUUAGUGUUGCAAUUGAAGCUUCUGGCAGAGCAUUCCAACUUUACGUGUCAGUUAGCAGCUACACCCUUCCUUUUGUUGCGGUAGAAAUGAGGUAUAUAUGUAGUAAAAUGAAUGAAGGGUUUAUGAAUCUUCUUGCUAAACAUUUUUGGUGGAGCAAAUAUUUGAUCUAUCGAAUAAUCAAAUGGGAUACUAACUGAAUUUAUGUCGUCAAUCAGUGUAAAAGUAUUUGUUGCCAAAAGUUGGAUGAGCAUUCAGGUGUACUGAUCUCUCACUGCAUCUAACUCUAACUUGGUAAAAUUUUCACAGGGCAUAUUUACUGGCGCAUGCAUUAAACCAUUGGUCGGGUACGGGUCAGAAAAUGGUAAGGAUCAUUGCGUGGUGAGGAACUCAUGUGGGGAGAAAGACGGAUACUUUAGGCUGGUGCGCAAUGUGAUUGAUUGGGAGCUACACGAGCAAGUGUGGAAUUACAAUGCAGUUUCCAUACCCGACUAAAGAUGGUGGAAAUGCAAGCAAGUCGAGAAGAGAAUAUGGAACAAAAUGCCGAAGGGGGGAAGAAGCAGCAUUCAAUCAUCUUCUUUUUACUGCUCUCACCCAACUGAAGAAACAAAAAAGCACAAGCUGCAAGCCUGCAAAUAUCGUCUGUCCAGCCAGCGUCUUGAAAUGCCUUGUUGGAUUACCAACAUUAAUUUCUAUCACCCUUUUCUAUCUUGGUUUAUAUCUAGCUAGAUAAUGAGGAAAGGUUUGUGAGGGAUAUUGAUUUGGACAAUGAGCGUGUGAACUGAACUGGGAAGCAACCUGACGUUAGCGUGUUAGCUUCGCAUUGCUUUGAGCGGACGCUUAAAGCUAUCUCCCUUCUUGCUUGUGUUACUCCCCAUUAGUUACUCAAACGCGGCGAUGGCGAUCAACAAUUCAACUUCAUUUCAAAUCAUGAAACAAUUUUUGACAAUCUUAAUACUAGAGCUUUUUUGGUUCUCUCUUUAUUCUAUUCUUUCAGCGGAGGUAUGAGCUUUUUAAACUCCUUAUUUCUGAGAAGCAACUGGAAGAUGUUUUAAAUCGCGGUGGCGCAGUAACUAAUUAAGAAGAAUGCAUCCAAUUUGCUUGUGGGGCUUUCAUGCUUUAGUUGUAGGGAUGAAGCGUGCACGACUAGCUUCUACAGCUUCAACAAUUAGACUGAAUUAGUAGGUAGGGUGGACCACCGUGCAUAUAUUUUCCAUGUCCAGCUGGUGUCAUGUCACCUCAUAUUUUGCUCUCUCCAGCAGACAUGAAUUAACAGCAAAUAUUUUGCACUUUCAACCCACCUCAAUUCAUUCCCCAUGUUUAAUUUUCACUGAAAAAAGAAAAUUAGGUAGGGCUAAAAUACACACAGAAUAAUAGUCCAGAAUACGAUGGAUGAUUCACAUGCUGUGUCGUCUCUGAUUAUUCACUUAUUAUUUUCUUCAAUGCUGUGACCUAUCUACGGCCUUGGUGUUAAAUGCAUCUUCUUCUCCUUCCUAUAUUUUGUCUAAUUCUUGACAAUGGCGGUAAAGACAUUUGCACUAAGAUUUUAGCAAUGCAAUACACUAAUAAAGACACUAGUGUGUUUUUUUCAAUUAAGAUAUAAGUGGGAGGACUUGAAUCCAAAAUUUCUUACUUAUACUCCUCCUUCUUCUUGAACCAUCCAACUCAUCUCUCUCGAGUAAAAGCAUUAGAUUAAGUAAAAAUUGAUACAGUAUUAGAAUAUAUAUGUAUAUACCACAGAAAGUCACAUAACCAUCUCAUACUAUAAUAUAUAUAUAUAUAUAUAUAUAUAUAUCACAGAAAGUCACAUAACCAUCCCAUAUUAUAUCCAGAUUAUAUGCCAUGCGUUGAAGGUUGAAUUCCUUGUUAGGUUAAAUAUUAUUGCCUUGCUUCUUUUUACCCAUAUGCUGUAAUACACAGUACUACAAAACAAGUUGUCCUGUACAUUUCAUCAUGAUAGAAGUCAUAGAACACCGAAAAGCAAAAGGAAGGGGAGUUUUAUUACAAAUGACUGGCGUGAAAGUUGGAGUUGGAUUGGCUCAACUUCAACGUCAAAGAAUUAUUAGAAGUCACCAACUUUUUCAUUGUUCCAUGGCCAGCAUGCUGAUUUUAGAGAUUCCUCCAAGAAAGCGUACCGACUUUUUUGAUAAAGCUUUUAAUGGUUAACGGAGAACAAUCUACUUGACGAAAACCUGGAGAAAUAUCACAUACCUUUUCCUUUUCUCUCUCCGACAAUGGUGGCUGUGUUCAACAAAGAGCUCUUGAGUUGGUACCUCAUCACCCUCAAACUCAACGAAACUGUUGAAGCUGGACUUCAAAAGGUUCAAAACCCUACAACUGCAACUCGGUCAAUUGAACUCUCACAAGAAGUACAAGCCCAGCGGCCGCUGCAGGUGCAGAAAGAACGGCAUCAACCCUUGGAUUCAUUGCAGGUUGCGGUCAAAGAUGGAACUAGUAAUGUUGAAGAGGGUCCCAAAUCACCAGAACCAGAGUGGGUGAUCAGCAUCAGAGAAAAACUUGAUCAUGCUAACCAAGAUGAUGACGCAGUUACAUGGUCAAAGCUCUGCAUCUACAGAGUGCCUCAAUACCUGCGAGAAGGCGAUGAUAAAGCUUAUCUGCCCCAGAUUGUCUCCUUGGGACCUUAUCAUCAUAACAAAAAGAGACUUCGCAAUAUGGAUCCUCACAAAUGGCGUGCUGUUUACCAUAUUCUGAAACGGACUAAUCAAGAUAUAAAGCUGUAUCUUGAUGCUAUCAAAGAACUUGAAGAAAGAGCUCGUGCUUGUUAUGAAGGACCAAUUUGCCUCAGAAGCAAUGAGUUCGUGGAGAUGAUGGUUCUUGAUUGUUGUUUUAUUCUGGAGCUCUUUCGUGGCGCUGCUGAAGGAUUCAAUCAGCUUGGUUACUCUAGAAAUGAUCCGAUAUUUGCAAUGCGAGGCUCAAUGCAUUCCAUUCAACGGGAUAUGAUAAUGCUGGAGAACCAAAUUCCUCUAUUCGUACUUGAUCGGCUAUUUGGUCUUCAGAUGGGUCAGCCGGACCUGAAAGGAAUAGUGGCUAAGCUAGCUUUGAGAUUCUUCGAUCCAUUGACCCCGACGGACGAACCAUUGACAAAUAGUGACAGGACCAAAUUGGAAUCAUCGUUGGGACACACUUCCGCUUUUGAUCCACUGGCGGAACUAGGAGGUCUUCACUCCCUUGAUGUCUUCCGAAGGAGUCUUCUUCGAAUAGGGCCUCAACCAACACCCAGGAUUUGGGUAAAAAGGUGGUCGCAUUCCAACCGUGUAGCAGACAAGCGAAGACAGCAGCUACUCCAUUGUGUCACGGAGCUAAGAGAGGCUGGGAUUAAUUUCAAGAAAAGGAAGACUGACAGAUUCUGGGAUGUGAAAUUCAAGAAUGGAGUUCUCAAGAUUCCUCGGCUCCUAAUCCACGAUGGCACAAAAUCCCUCUUUCUCAACCUUAUCGCUUUUGAGCAAUGUCAUCUUGACAGCACCAAUUACAUAACCUCAUAUGUGGUCUUCAUGGAUAACUUGAUCAAUUCCCCAGAAGAUGUAAGCGUCCUACAUUAUUAUGGGAUAAUCGAGCACUGGCUUGGCAGUGAUGCUGAAGUUGCUGAUCUUUUCAAUCGUCUUUGCCAAGAGGUGGUUUUUGACAUAAACGACAGUUAUCUUUCUCCAUUGUCUCAGCAAGUAAACCGCUAUUGUGAGCACAGGUGGAACACCUGGCGAGCAACUCUAAGUCAUAAGUAUUUCAAUAAUCCGUGGGCAAUUAUCUCCUUCGUUGCUGCUGUGGUCUUGUUGCUGCUAACUCUUGCGCAGACGUUCUAUGGGAUUUAUGGCUACUAUGAACCGCAUUCUUAAGCCUGCUAUACAAUGGUCUGUUUAUAUUCAUAAUCAACAAGAGAGAAUUGCUUGAACGCAUUACAUAUCUAUCAAGAAACAGUGAAUUGUUGGAUUUUAAGGUAGGAAAUGAGUGAGCGAGCAUUCUCUGCAAUCUAAUGGAAUUUGCGAGUCAUUCUACUAUCUAUGAAAGGAGCUUCGUUAUUACAUUCAAGUUCAACAAUCACUCGCAUCCUUGAUUUCGCCUAAUUCAGGCUCACAUUUAUCAGACAUAAAUUGCAAGCAGAAAGCAUCAAGCACCACAGAAUACUUGUCUUCGUCGUCUGUAGUUUAAUGUCAAGAAAGCAUCAGGCACCACAGAAUACUUGCCUUCGUCCUCCUCAGUUUUAUGUGAAUGCUAGGAGAAUCUAUUACAUAGGCAGGCAUUGAAUCUGAAGCAGGGAAGGAGGAUUUUGGGUAGCAUCAGGAAACCCUAUUCACUCUGGCACCGUUGCUUGUUCAUGGACAAGCACACGAUGGUGGAAAACGACACCUGAACCAUACAGUCUUCCAAGACUUCAACCGUCAAUUAGGUUGAAAGCUACUCUUGUAUGUUAGUAUGUCCUGAAGAUAACUAAUGAAGUGCAGUAGGCAAGAGUAACAAGUUCAAAGUGAAGAUUAAUCCUGUUCUUUUGAAAAUUAAGCAACUUACAUUCUAGCUAUGCCAUUGUAGCGUCACUAGGAACAACCAAAGGAGAAUAAUCCAAUUGGAUUGCCAACAGCAAGACCAGGUGUCCUCAAACUCAUACAAGAAAACAUUUUACUAACAUUCCAAACGGCAAAUCUGUGUAAUCAAAAGCAAAGUUUGCUCAUUUACAAUCUGCUUCACGCUCCAAGCAGAUUAGCAACAAAAAGCAUUGUACGGUUGUGCAAAUGAACAGAAUUUGCAAUUACAUUUCAAUAUGUCACCAAAAGAAGCAUCACCGUCAGACGUAUAAGCAAGUAGUCAAACCAAUAUUUCACUUGUCGAGUAGGUGCUGGUAAGCGCGCCAAACCUCAAAUAUCCGCCGCGAAAACAACCAGGGACGACUGGCCUUCUCGCAAGAGACGGCGGCAGCUGCUGUUCCGGCGUCCACGGGAAUUGGGAGGUCUUUUACUGUUGGAUGCUUGCUUCAGGACUUCAAAGUUCAAAGUGCACUUCGGCUUAUUUCGGUGGGGCGCGUUGGAGCGGAAAGUCUUGACUGGGAUGUGGGUGGGUCAAAUUCCGUACACUGUUUUUGUUGUCUGGGCCUCCAGUUUGGGUUUCUUGUGAACAUACGUUACUUAGGUCCAUUUAACUUCUUGCACGAAAAUACUGGAUGGGCUGUAGCUGGGCCUUUCUAAAUUUUAGUUCAUAUGCGUGGAUAUAGAUUAGGGAUCCAUUCGAAGUUAGUUUUGAACCACAAGGUUUGUCACGUUUGUAAUUUUACGUAAUUCUCAGGACAUAAUAACCUACUGAUUGUACAAUUUAGAUUCUGUUUACCGUCAUUACUCCCUACCGUUCUCCGCAAAAUGAAUUUGAGGUGCAUUGACCUCUCUGCCCUUUCUUCUGUAUGAAUUUUAAAACAUGUCAUGAAUCAGUGAUUUCCCAAGCAAAUAUAUAGAACAAUUAGUUGGUUUUGUCAACUCUUUGCGCAGGGAUGCUCAUGGUCUUUUUCGUAAUUUGAAUUUCUUUAUUAAUCGUAAUUUGAAUUUCUUUAUUAAUGAGUCAUGUAAUCAGGGUUUAUGACGAGAAAGUUAAUAUUGAUUUUAAAAUAAUUUUUUGGGUUAGAUGGUUAUUUAUUAAGCUGGUAGUUUUAUUUGUUUCUUUUUUUUUUUUUUGGUUUGGUAGUAUAGUCAAGAAAGCAGAUUGGAUACUAUUGCUCAUUAUUAACAUAUUACUCACAGUUUGAAAUAUGUCUGUUGAUUGAAAACCAGGAUUAAGAAAGUAGAUUGGCACCAUAGGCACAGGUGGAUAGAUUGUUAAGGACAGCUUGGUCAUUGAAUGUCUUGGCAGCCAUUAUUUAUUUUUGUUUGUUUUUUCUUGAUAGGAAUUUAUCCAUAUCCCCGUUAGUGUAUUAGUAUAUACAUUUUCAGUAUACGUGAGAUUAAUUAAUCUUGCUAUGUAUAUAUAAUGUAUGUUAUGUUUAGCUGUUGGUUGAGUGACCAAAUCUUUGGUAAAAAAAAUAAUAAUAAAAGGAGGAAGAAUAAAAUGACCAAUUGUACCCCGUUUGGAUUGUAUUUUUUUAAAUUUUUUAUUAAAAAUUUAUUAUAAUGAUUUGAUAUAUAUAAAAUAAAAAGAUGAUAGAACAGUAAUUAUUCUAAGAAAAAUUGCAAUCCAAACGGCCCCCUUAUCCAAAGUUUGAGCCAGAUCACCGGGGCCCUGGAUUGCUAUGCAUUAACCAGCAAGGCAGCAAACGUUCCACUGCUAUAUGAUAGUGCCAGUAGAAAUUGCGAAUUGUGGCUGAGUUGGCAACUACUAGUGUUAGUAUGGUAAAGCCUACUGCACCGAAUCGUAGCUCCAAAAAUAACAAUUAACCUUUGCUGCUCCACCACCUCCAUCGCGGCCUCACCUCCAUUUUAAUUCCGACCUCACUAUUCUGCAAGCGUCAAGAGCGCCGGAGCUGAUACCUCUACACCUAAAGAAGAAGAAAAGAAAAAGUUAAAAAACUAUAAUCCUAAAAGGCUAGAAAGAAGAAGAAGGAGAGAUACAGUCUUAAGCAUCGCAGCAUUGUUCGAGAAUAAACGGAGGAUUUCUGGAUCUUCAUUAGCUCUGUGAGUAGGCCCCCGCAUUCUGAUCCACAUUUAAUUGCUUCGCAUUUCGCGAUUUCUAUGUCAAAUUAUACUUGCUUACCUAGAUCUUGAUGACUUCUAUGAGACGUAAUAGACUCUUCACGUCGCACACGUAGAACUAAUUGUCCGUGAAUUUGUUUGCUUAUUUUAUUCUUAUUAUUUCUUGCAUUUGGUACGCGAUUGAUUGUAUUUCUCGUCGUUCAUCUACUGAAAUUGAAAAUGACGAAUUAGAGGUCGAGAUGGAAAUCCACGCAUUUUAUUAGUUGUUAUUUUGAAAAAAAAAAUUUGUUGGAUUGAAUGAAGCAAUUAUAAAUGCAUUUACAUUUUCGUAUCUCGUUUUUAAUUCUUUUUAACCGAGUAGCAUGCUAUGCUAAUAAAUAUAUAUAAAUAGUAGCUUUUUUCGAAGCUGUUUUAUCGCUUGUGAUCUCUAGUAUUGCUGGUUUUCCCUUUUCAGUAUUUUGCAUCAUAUCUACGCGUAAGGCUGCACAAUGUGACAGUGUUUGUAUCAUUGAUUUUCUUUUCUUUUCUUUUCUUUUUUUUUUUGGGUACUAAAAGCUAUUUUAUUUGAAUAAGUGAAACGCAUGGUAGAUUCCUCACAGACAAGCCACAAAAUGUGUAUAUUUGCAGACUGACAUUGCCAUACCGCCUAUGCAUUAACUAUACGAGCGAUGUGGAGAGAUAUGAUUUAGAUAACUGAAAGAGCACGCUUUAGUAUUUUUCAAUUUGUUUCCAUGCCAACUGAAUGGAAGAGAGUAGCAUUGGGUGUUUUUAGGUGUGGAAUGAAGGGACAUGUGAAGAGGAUGUCGAUAUGAUCUUUUAUUUUUGUGUCUUAUCUAAACUUGUUAUCUUUUUUUUUUUUUUCCUUUUUGCAGAAUGGAUACUAAUUCUGGUGAUUCAGCAAAUCCUCAUUCUAGUGAGGGUUCAGAUGUCGAACCUCGUGUAGUGACUGCUACUGCAGUAGACAGUUCCCCACGUGGCUCAUCUUCUAUGCUGUCGACAUCUGCCAUAUCUUCUUGGGCCAAAGGUCUGAAACUUCCACAACCCUUAGCACCGGCAACACCAAACUCACAGGCCGGAAAUGCUCCCAAGUCUGCAUUUUCACGUCUAGCCAGUGGAUUUGGACUGAAUUUGCCUUUGAAACCAAAUGAUAGUUCUGGAGACAGCUCAGCUGCUGCACAAUCAGGUGUUUUUGAGUCGCUCACUAAAGGAAUAGUUGAUUCAUCUUUCAGUGCAGUUAAGGCUGUUCAAGUUAAGGCACGUCACAUUGUCUCGCAGAACAAGCGAAGAUACCAGGUCGAUCAAGUUCUUAUUUCUUUGCUGGAAUUGUAUGACUAGUCUUUGCUCUCUGCGAUUGAACAUUAACAAACUUUUGCCACUAUUUCCAAAAUCUGGAUGAGUAAGUGUGUAUAAACCUUUUUUUUGGACAUAAGACGUUUAUGCAAUUGAAAUUGAUAUGAUGGCUACAGAAUGAAAUAUUGCUCAUGUACCUUGUCAACUUGGUUUUCAAACUCUCGAUGAAUUAUGAAGUUUAUUGCAGUCAAAUUUCUCCAAUUGCUUAAUAUGCCACCCACUUAUGUUCUUAUAUUCAUUUAUGAGAAGCAAGGACCUUUUGUAACACACUCAUAUAUCUAGACAAGUAACUCUGGUAUUCUUUCAAUGCCUUAUUUCAGGAAGGAGGAUUUGAUUUAGAUAUGACUUAUAUAACUGAGAACAUCAUUGCAAUGGGUUUUCCAGCUGGUGAUAUGAGUUCUGGAUUUUUUGGCUUUGUUGAGGUAAAAAAAAAAAACACAAUUUGCAUAUGAAAUGUUCCCAAACACAUCUCAGUUUUACUAAUUAUAUUUGUUGGAAAUAUGAUGCAGGGUUUGUAUCGGAAUCACAUGGAAGAAGUGAUCAAAUUUUUUGAAACUCAUCACAAGGUAACUUUUGAAUUCAAAUUGGUGACUACUAGUUAUAUACAAUUUGCUGCCAAAAAUGUCUGUACAGAAUAUGUAUUCAAAAUCUUUAUACCUUUUCUACCAUGAAAUAUCUGAUUGGACCAUUUAGUUACUGUACUUUCCUAUUAAGGUACCAUCAUCACCUCAAAAAGUUAAUCAAUUUCCUAAAACAAGUAAAUUUAUAUAUUAUUGCCACUCUUUUCUUUCAAAAUUAAUUUUUAGUUUUUAAGCUAAAUUAGACAUGACGUGCGUAAAAAGUAAAAACAUAUCUGGAGAACAAUGCUUUGUUUGUUGAUUGGAUUACCUGAAUUAGCAAUGGUUUAAAUAAGAUAUGCAUGUUAUCCCUAAGACCCAGCUCAGCUUGUAGGAACAUUAGCUAGGUGGCGAUGAGGACCCUGAUUCAACUAUCAUUUUCUCCCCUUUCCAUUUUCCCCUUGUAAGGCUUGGCCUCGCCCUUGAACUCAAAACAAAAAUAUAAGAUACACACAUUGGUAAUGUAGUUACCUUGAUCAGGACUGUUGCUUUUAACAGCACGUGGGCCUCAUAUUAAUUCACUAACUUUUACUUCAAUCCCCAUGAUAUGUGCUCAAGGCAUGCGACUAAAAUGGAUGGUGUACUACUAUUGAACACUUGAAACUGCCUUAUCUCACUGUAUCUGCUCCUUGUUCGCUAGCUUUAGAUAACUUUUCUACUCUUCGUUUUACUUGCUGCUUUUGCAAUUUGAUAUGCCUUAUAUAUUUCUUUGGAUUUCAGGGGAAGUACAAAGUAUACAAUCUUUGUUCAGAGAGGUUAUACGAUGCGUCACUGUUCCAGGGAAAGGUGUUGUUUUCUUCUGCAAUAAAAUCUGUUUUUCAAUUUCAUUCCUGCAAUUCAAGAGUCUAAACCAAGUGUAGCUUGACUGUCAUUUGUGAUCUCCAAUUUAUGCUCUAUAAAUUUCUGGAGUGAAAAGAAUAUGAACAAAGGAAUGAGGGUAGUUUUGAUUUGCUUUUUGAUCAUUCAGUCAGAAAAUGCUGAGUUACUUAAUAUGUCUUUUUAAUGAUUCAUUUUGAAAUCUCGUAGGAAGAUGCUGCCAGUGGAAAAAAAAAAUUCAAGAGCAAUGCUCUGAUAGGAUGAAGGAGGGGGCAAAGGAAAAAGAUUUUUGAAAACUAGGAAAGAACUCUUAUUUCAGGGAAGAAAAUGGUUUAAAGAAAGUGCAACAAAUACAAUCCUAGUCAUACGCAACAAUUAAUUAAUAAAUAUAGCAAAUUUUCGCUCACCCAGAGAGGAAGUGACCAUUGGUGAAAGCAUGAAAGCAGGCUGGAACAGUGUAGUUUUUCCUCUUACAUAAGCCUUUUUUUUCCUUUUUCCUUUUUCCUUUUUUUUGAAGUAUUCCUCUUACAUAACUUAUAUCACUAAUGAGAAUGAUAGUUUAAUGUGUUUGAUACGCUUAAUUCUUGUCCAGGUUGCCAGUUUCCCAUUUGAUGACCAUAAUUGCCCUCCUAUUCAUCUUAUUAAGUUGUUCUGUCAAAGUGCUUAUUCAUGGUUGAAGGAGGACAUCCUGAAUGUGGUGGUUGUCCAUUGUAAAGCUGGUAUGGCAAGGACAGGAUUGAUGAUCUGUAGUCUUCUUCUGUUCUUAAAGGUAAAAUAUGUUUCAGAGAAAAUGCUGUUUUUGAUGGGAAAAGCUGAAACAUGUAUUUGUCCCACACUUCUCGUCUUUUGCAGUUUUUCCCCACAGCUGAGGAGUGCAUUGAUUACUAUAACCAGAAAAGAUGUGUAGAUGGGAAGGGUCUCAUUCUCCCUGGCCAGAUUGUUAGUCAAAAAUUUGCACGAACUCAUUUUCUGAAUAAAAGUCUUAUUUAUAUAUGUGAUCUAACAAAUUUUCAUUUUUUGCUUUUCCAUAGAGGUAUGUGAAGUACUUUGAGCGCAUUUUAACGCACUUCAAUGGUGAAACUCCGCCUGGACGUAGGUACUCUUCAGAUUAGUUACUUGAAAAAUACAAAGUAUUGAGCCAUCAAGGUACUGAAAAGCUACUAUAUUGCAGGUGCAUGCUGAGGGGAUUUCGACUCCACAAGUGUCCUUAUUGGAUCAGACCUGCCAUUACCAUAUCUAAUCAUAGUGGUAAGUACCGGGUUGAGCCUCAUGCUAACUUUGCCACAGUGAGAAGCAGUAUUUUGUUACUGUUCUGGUGAUUCGUUAAUUUAUUCGGUUUGAGAAGUCACCUACAUUUGGUUGACGUUGCUUUAUUUAUUCAUUUAAUUAGUGUCUGUACAAUUACCAUAUAUGCCAGGCGAUGUACUUCAGUUUUGUCUCUCAAAAGUAGCAUCUCUCAUGUGAUAAAUUUUAGUUUGGGGAAUAUCAUCAUCCAAAACCAAAUAUGGUUUAAUGCAAACCAAUGAAAUUAUUAUCAUUGGCUUUUUUAAUAUCUUGUCUGAAGUUGGGAGUCAAAGGAGUAAUUACAUGUUACCAUUGCAUUUGUGGCAAGUCCCUGUCAGUCAUGCAAACCAGGAAAAGGGCUUUUCACCCAAUAGCUUGAACAUGACUAUUAACAUCUGAUUUCAAUACGGAGCUUGAUUUAGAGUUAUUUCAUCUUUGAGUGAGAGAGAGGGAUUGGUCUUUACAAUUGCUGCACAUGUGAGCGAGAGGGAUGGGUCUUUCUCUAAACUUCCAAGAUAAAUAAAAAAUUAUACAUGUCACUAGUAGUAUUAGGGUCUGCUUCGUGUGAGAUAUUCACUUUCAUGCAGCCAGAGGCAACCAGCACUUCUUGCUUACUUUUGAAGAUCAAUGAGAGUCCUAUGGAAAAUAGCAGUUGAAUUUCUAGAAGAUUAUUAUGUCAGUAGCAAUCUCUUAUAUGUGAAGUAUAAAGAACAAAAAGGUUCAGAAAGUUUUAGACCUUGCUAGCUGCAAGAAUAGAAACUUUCUUUAUGAGCAAAAUGUGAUGUCUGGCUCUUUAAGCUAUCCUUUUUUUAAUUUUAAACCAGUUUUGCUGAACUGACGAAAGUAUUUACAUGUCUGCAGGAGUUUUAUUUUCCACUAAAAAGCAUCCGAAAACAAAGGACCUAAUGGUAUUCUAUAUCAUCUGUCACUUCAUUACUGCCUCAUUUUUACAAGUAAAUGUAUUUGAUUGGCUGUGCUGACUACUCGAGAGUUAUUCUCUUUUUCAUUAAUUGAGUUUAAUUUAUGAUCUGUUUGAAAAUUUUGUAUGGGGCUACAAAACCAUUUAAUUUUUUGCAUUUCUUCUUGCAGCCAGAAGACUUCUGGUUGCGUGCAGCAAAAAAGGGAAUUGUGGUCUUUGCUCUACCAGGGGAGCCAGGUUUAACAGAAUUGGUGGGGGAUUUCAAAAUCCACUUUCAGGAUCGCCAAGGAGACUUCUAUUGGUGUGUAAACUGUCUUGGUAUCUGCUUCUUUUUAGUGCAUGUCCAAUUGCAGUAGCAUCCCAUCACGCUUGUUGAUUUUUCUCUGAAAUAUGUUGCCUAAAUAUGUAUGCAUUUGCUCAUGAUCCAGUAGCAUCUGAUUGCGCAUGCAGCAUGACCAUCAUAGAAAUAUUAUCUGUGGUAUUUUUAAUUAAUUUCCUAGAGGAGAGCAAGAGGAGUUUCAAGGUGCGCAUCCUUUAAAACAUUGUGAAGUGUUUGAUAAAUUCUUAGUCUUCAUGAGCUUUGAUUAAAUUUGAAGCAUACAUUAAGACUCUUGACAAAUUUAUAUUUUCUUUAGUUUCAUAUUUCACCUUCUUUUUUCGGUGGUAAGCUGUUUCUCCUUCUUUCAGUUGGUUGAAUACGACAAUGAUGGAAAAUAGAGUGCUUUUGGAUUCCUCUGAUCUUGAUGGCUUUGAUAAGGUAAAUCAAAUACUUUUGUUUGUUUAUAAGCAAACUCUCAAUUGUAAGUCAUUCAUCUUUCUCAUCUUUUCUUUUCAUUUUUUCCAAGAUUUUGCUCUUACUGUAACACAGUUUCACCUUUUUGUAGCUUUAUUUGCUUCUCAGCGCCUUUUAGUCGUUCCUCUUUAAUUUCAUCCUUUUCGUUUUUGGGUAAAAUAGAACUUUAAUUUAAUUUCUUCCUGUUAACAAACAUCUGGCACUCCACAGAGGAAAUUGCCUUCUCCAGGUUUUCAGGUUGAGAUUGUGAUGAUAGACUAUGAUGGUACAAUAUCAUCCAAAUUUAAAGCUGAUCAAGUGGCAAAGGGGUCUGAUGGACGAGUAGGAAGUCAAGCAUCAUCAAGUGAUAGGAAUGACGCGAACACUGCUCAAGUCGAGGUUACACCAAAACGAGAUAAUGAUGACGAUGUUUUUUCAGAUAGUGAUGGAGAGGGGUCUGUACCCUCAAAAAGAAGCGUAGAUAACACAUCAUCUGCGGUGGGAACUACUUCGCCUCUUGAGUCAGGUAGCAAAGAUAACCAAAUUACAUCCUUCACCGAUCAGACCAAACAACUCUCAUUGGGGAGCAAGGAGUCCGCACAUUUUCAGACCAAUACGUCAAAAGAAACGAAAUUUGAUGGUGUUGAGAGGGUUGACUCUAUUCCAAACCUAGGUUCUGGUGAUAUUAAAGCUAUUGCAGCAGACGCUUCUGUUUUCAGUUUUGGAGAUGACGAAGAUUACGAAAGCGAAUGAGCAACAACAGUUGGUUCGCAGGUUAGGAUUGGUUUCCGUUGGCGCUAUAGUGGCUAGAAUUUUCUGACAAAUUAAAGAUAUUUAUUUUUCCUAUACACAUGCUGACCUUUGGCGUCCCUGCUCCUAGUUGAAAUUCUUAUCUGUCCCUGCUCCUAGGAUUGUUUUUGGGUUGAAAUUGUUACCCGAAUGCUAAAUAUUUAUACGCUAAUAUGGCAAUUAAUUUUAGACUGCAUCUGCUGACAAUCAUAUGGAAUUCAGUCCAGACAUCAGGAUCGAUUGAAAACUCUCCUCAUCCUACAAUAGGAACUGCUUUGCUUUUGUUUUUGUUGAUCUUUCACUCCCUUUCAUGUUUCCUCUUCUUUUCAUGUUUUUCACGAGCUUUAAAGCGAAAAUAUUCUUGUACUUUGCUCCGCACGUUAACGAGGCGCUCAAGCUCAGGCAGCCGACUCUGAACUCGAGUCAAGCAUUUGACAUGCUUUGCAAGCAGCUCGAAUUAUCUUACAUCACAGCUUGAAAUAUCCCCCCAAAUCCAGCACAACUAUGAAAAACAAAUUGAAAAAGAAUGGUCGAACUAAAGCUGCAGAAAGUACAUUGUAAAAAGUAGCAACGCCCACCUCGUGAAAUACAUGUACUGUUUCUACCAAGGACGCAAACCAGCGGAAACGUGAAAGUCUGCAAUAAAUGAUACUUAACUUAAUCGCAUCAAACAAGAGCUUCCCACAUCAGUAAGAAAUCUAUAGUUCGUACUGUAAGCAUAAGGACCCAUGGAC
rnacentral:lncRNA from 1 species